UACAGAGGUCCCAAGCGUUGUUCGGAUUCACUGGGCGUAAAGGGUGCGUAGGUGGCCAGGUAAGUUCGGUGUGAAAGCUCGGAGCUCAACUCCGAAAUGUCAUUGAAUACUAUCUGGCUGGAGGGUCGGAGGGGAGACUGGAAUUCUCGGUGUAGCAGUGAAAUGCGUAGAUAUCGAGAGGAACACCAGUGGCGAAGGCGAGUCUCUGGACGACUCCUGACACUGAGGCACGAAAGCUAGGGGAGCAAACAGG
rnacentral:rRNA from 1 species